ensembl:snoRNA Small nucleolar RNA U13
AUCCUUCUGUGUUUCAUAAGCAUGAUGAUUGGGUUUUUAUACUAUUGCGCGAGAUAUGCCUCCCUCAAACUUUGCUACAUCAGCAUACUACCUCUUAAUGUGAAA